rnacentral:rRNA from 1 species
GACGAACGCUGGCGGCGUGCUUAACACAUGCAAGUCGAACGAAAAGAGGGAAAGAGCUUGCUCUUUCCGGAAUUGAGUGGCAAACGGGUGAGUAACACGUAAACAACCUGCCUUCAGGAUGGGGACAACAGACGGAAACGACUGCUAAUACCGAAUAAGUUCCAAGGGCCGCAUGGCCCAUGGAAGAAAAGGUGGCCUCUACCUGUAAGCUAUCGCCUGAAGAGGGGUUUGCGUCUGAUUAGCUGGUUGGAGGGGUAACGGCCCACCAAGGCGACGAUCAGGAGCCGGUCUGAGAGGAUGAACGGCCACACUGGAACUGAGACACGGUCCAGACUCCUACGGGAGGCAGCAGUGGGGAAUCUUCCGCAAUGGGCGAAAGCCUGACGGAGCAACGCCGCGUGAGUGAUGACGGCCUUCGGGUUGUAAAACUCUGUGAUCCGGGACGAAAAGGCAGAGUGCGAAGAACAAACUGCAUUGACGGUACCGGAAAAGCAAGCCACGGCUAACUACGU